UACGUAGGAGGCGAGCGUUGUCCGGAGUACUGGGCGUAAAGCGCACGCAGGCGGUCAGAUCAGUCUGGAGUGACAGUCGUCGGCUUAACCGACGAAGUGUUCUGGAAACUGUCUGACUUGAGGGCUUCAGAGGGACACGGAAUUCCGGGUGGAGUGGUGAAAUGCGUAGAUAUCCGGAGGAACACCAAUGGCGAAGGCAGUGUCCUGGGAACGUAC
rnacentral:rRNA from 1 species